CUCUAAAAUGACUCUUGUUUCAUCUUGCCAGGUCAUUUCUGAAGGCUAGACUCAAUGUGGGUCUAAAUUUUAUAGGUGGUGUUUGUGUCACUUGAUAAGACCAUUAUGUUUCUCUUACUGAAUUUUUGUUCUUUUCCUGAUUUAUGGAGAGAGAUUCUUGAUUUGUGCUGAAAGAAUUAAACUUACCUGACGCUUAUGUUACACAUUUUAUUUUCACUGUUACAUUCCACUCAUUCUGCUCCUGUCUUUCCCUUUUCUUAGAUAAAUCAGCAUUUUGACAGGACUGAUUGGACUGAAAAGGCAAGGCUGAAUGAGCAGAAGCUAUGUUUUGUGGAGGUUUUCCCUGAAGGAGUGAGGACAUCGUUGGAACACUUGAUCUUUUCUUGCAUUAAAAGGAUGAACAGUAUUGCGGCUCACAAGAAAGCUUGAGUUAUAGUCUUCUUCUUGGACAUUGAUGGAAACAUCUGAAUAAGGUAAAAUCAUAUGCAUUUUAAUUAAAUUUUAUAUCUGAUUAAGUUUAUUAUUAUUCGCUCAAGCGUUUGUGAUUGAUUUGCUUCAUGCCGGUGGACAAGC
rnacentral:lncRNA from 1 species